UUUUGGGAUUUAUUUAUUUUUAACCAUCUUAUCAGCAUUUUAGGAAAUUUUAAACCUGCUUACGGCCUCUCUCCUUAUCUGAGUGAUUCCUAAUAACAGAUUUGCAGCAAUGACUUGAGUUGGAAAGCAUGCACUGAGCAGUUGUUAAGACCUCAAAUUCACUCUGGUUUAGACCAACUUCACCAAAGACACCCAUCCUGAACAAAAAAUAGCCUUUCUUCCAUCUCCUUUCACUCUGGGCAGGAAGAAAACUUUAGGUCAGGCUAUAAAUUGAUCUGGAAAGUCACUGCCAGUGCAUUGUAGCUGGCUGAAUUAUUCCUGCAUGCUGUGGGGAGGAAGGAGGCUGUUUUUUUCCAAGCCCAAUGCCAGGCUGGCUCUCACAUGCCCCCCAGUCCUGUUGGGCAGAGCAGGCAGGAGCAGAUCCAGGACAAUAACGGGAAGCAAAGCAAGCCUGUAGGAGCACACAAGGAAAUGAUCUGAGCCUCAAUCAUUUCCCUCCAUCCCUCAAUCCUUUCCCUCCAUUCCCAGUCAUCUUCAGGACUGUCGAGAAAAGGUGGACAAACCUCUUGAACUCCUCCAACCUCCUUUCUGUUGCUGAAAAGAGACAGCCAAAAUACCACUUUACUUUUUUUUUUUUUUUUUUUCCGUGUCUGGUACAUGCCAAGAGUGCCAGGAUCUCCAGAAUGCAUAUUGUUGCUCACAGUAAAAUUUCCCACAAAUGUUUUCAGAUUUUGGAAGAAAAUGGAUAACAGAAAUAAAUUUGGCUUGUGAUUUCCAGGUUGUCAUCGUUUGUUGUCAUUUGGGCUUUGUAAUGCUGGAUUUUGGCAGUGUGGAUGUUUUACAUAACUGCCAGCUUCUGAAAUGUAACUUUUUGUCAGAAAAUAAUGCAGCUUCCUCUUUUCUAAUCAGAAAACGGAAAAUCAAGUAUAAAUGACACCACCCACCCUAUACUGACGAUAAAGCAUUCUGUGGAAGUUUCAAUGGAAAAAAUUCUACCCUUUUUUCCCCUUAUCAGAAACCUCCUCCACUUUGGAGACUGAGACCCAGCAGGGUCCUGGCUCUGCAGACUUGCCUGACAGUGGGUCUUGCACACCCAAGUUUCAAGCUUUUGCUGUGUGUUUUGGGAGAUUUUUUGAAACUUAUCCUAAAUAAAUGCUGUCUUGGCCCUUGGGCUUCUACUGAUUUCAGUGGCAAAAAAAAAAAAAAGAAAUCACCAAGUGAAAAGGACCUAGUCAAAGCACAUCCAGGUUGCACAGCACAGCCUGCUCCUCUCCCGCUUCUGAAGCUGUUUUUUUCAGUACAUCUGCAGCCUAAACCUGGCCACAUUUUUUCCAAAAGCUGGCACCUUGUAUCAAAAUAAUGAAUUUCAACCCCAAAUAAGGAAAAAAAACAUGCUGCCAUGAAAUUCUGAUGAAAUUGGAGAGGAUAUUUUUCAGUCCUAGUCCUGGUGCAGAUGUUCUGAGGCAGGUGUUCAAUGUGCAAACCUGUGCUCCCACAGCAUUUUGGCUCACCAAACCGUGGUGCUUCUCUAGGUGUGGGAGCUGUGACAGGGAGGGGAUGAGGUCACCCUUCAGUCCCUGCAUCCAGGGUUCAGAGGGGUCAUCUGGCACAGCCUGGCUUAUGCCUUAAGCCGGUGGGAGGACCACCAAAGGCUGAAGUCCCUCUUGUUAAUCACUCCUCCGGCAGCAGCUCCUUUGCCCUGAAAGAUCCCUGACCUCACCUCAGGAACAGCGAGCAGCACUGAGCACUGACAUCAUGCCCAUUUUUCCUUUAUGGUUUUGACUACAGAGCCUGCAUGUCAUUCUCAGGAUGCUUGCCCUUCCUCACCCUGUGGAGCUGUUGCUUUGACUGCCCCGUUUCUCUGUGCAUCCCAUUUAAGAACACAGGACUGGGAGCAACUUCCAAGCCAGUUGUCUUGUACCUUGCUAACCUCACAUCACUGCUUUCUUCAUCUCCAAAAAGACUUUAACAUCCCAAUUUCUCCCUUUAGCCUGUGUGCAGUUUUAGUUUCUGGAACCUUUCCUGAUGAAUUCAUCCUCUCCUGUUGGGCUUCACAGUCCUCACAACCUGGAAAAGAUCCCGAGGUUUCACAUAUCUGUUCAGAGCAAAGCAAUUAUCCGUGGCUCUGUCACUGAUAUAGGGCAACACAAAAAUGUUGGGAAUCUGUUAAAGGCAGAUUCCUGCGAGGGCUUUCCCUUCUCCUGCAGUCCCAGCUGCUGCCAGGGGAUGGAGCGCAGCUCAGCCCACAGCUGGAUCCGCACCCCAGCCCGCAGCUGCCGGGGCCGCAAAAACGGGAGAAAAACUGAUAAAUACAGACCGUGUUGGAGAGGAGCUCCCUGGAGAUGUGAUGCUGGAGUAAGGCUUUGCACCGAGGCCAGGGGACCAGCAGAGCUGGGGCAGCAAGGAUGGCUGGAGCGAUGAGAACAAGCUGCCUGUCAGCCCACAGGCUGCUCCUGCAUGGCCAGAGACCUGCACUGAGGCUGCACUGGGUCCACGAUGCUGCUCUUGCUCUUCUCUUUCUUUAAAGGUUGUUUUCCUUCAGGGAAGAUUUUGGUUGCCUUUCUGAGCCUCCUUGGAGCUGGGACUGCCAGUCUGGCUCUCACAGUCCAGGGCACCCUCAGCACCAGUUCAUUGUCCCCCUGGAGCCCACCUCCUUUCUGUGCACUCUGCCCUGUAUUUCCUCUGAUGUAGCAGAGACCUAUGACUUGUUUUGGGUUGCGUGGGCCUGUGUUUUCAAGUCAAAAAUCACCUUUUUGAGUAGACCAAGGUUUAGGUUUGCAAUAACCUCCAGCUGCAGACAACCUGUGUUGUGCAGCAACACCCCGGGCUCUUGUGGCUCGCCCUGGCACUGAAGGGCUGCCAGAGCAUAGAUACCUAUCCUGAAUGAAAUAUUACAGAUUCAAACUGGGACAUCUCCCCACCCAGCUUUGCCACAGGGCUGGUUCUCAAAUCCUCACUUCCACGCAUCACAUUUUAUGGGAUCAUGGUCCUCAUCCUCGGCCAUGACACAGCUUUCACCAGCUACUCAGCUAUUGGGGGACAGCAUUACCCCAGCCAGUGCCUCCUCAUGGGGAUGAGGCCCUAAUGAGGGUUAUGAAAUGAUGCUACAGCCAGCAGAGGGAGUGCUCAGAGCUCCAGGAUGCACAGGGACACCUUGGGAAGUGCCGAGAAAAUGUACUAAACCCAAAGCAGGAGUGAUGGGGUGCUGAAACAGAGGCUCUCCCUGGCUCAGCUGCCAGCCUGGUGAGGUUCAGGAUGGGGAAAUGGAUCUGUCAUGAACCCUCCUGGAAACCUUGGGUAUUAGAUGAGCCAGUGAUGAGGAUCCACAAUGAGAGACAUGCUUGAGCCUCUUAGACUUGAGGAAUUUUACAGAGCCUGUUCUAAACUGCCAAAUGAAAUCCCCGCAUGCAUUCAGUUCUGGCUUUGGGCUCUUAACUUUGGGCUCUGGCCUUUCCAAAUGAAAUCGCUGCUGCAUCUCAACUAAUAAGGAGCCACUCCUACAGCAUUUCAUUUCCAAAGCAAUUGUCCUUGUGCCUCACAUAGGUGCUGGAAUCAGGAGGCAGUCUGUGGGCUGGGAGUUGUGGAAAGCUUAGGCUUGGCUCUGCCCACCAAACAAAUAUUUAAAGUAGAUCUUCAUUUGAUUUUAGGCCAAACAGAGCAGAAUUAAAGACUUAACAUCUAGCAAUAUCUGUAACAGUCUCUUAAAUUAUUCUCCAGGAAAUGCCUCAGUGGUGGCGGGGGCUCUCCACUCAAUGUUAGAAAUAGAAUCAGUUUCCCAAAUGCACAUCAUCAAAGACUCAUGCCUGCUCCUUUCCUAACCAUGUGAAUUCCCCAGAUUUUUAAAUGAAGCCCUUUCAAGCACCAAUGGGCAAUUUUGCAACUCAUCUCUAAGGAGAUCAAUAACUAAAAGCAAGGUAAUGAAGUCAGGUGUCUCUGGAUUGUGUUAGGACAAGUCCAUGAGAGGAUUCUGAUGUGGAUGAGAUAAAUGCCAUUAAAUCACUUGCAGGGUGAGGUUUAAGUGGGGAAAGCCUUGCAGUGAGUGUUGGGAAGGUGUUGUGCAUGGGAGCACCACCGCGGGCUGAUUAACGCUGUAUGCAAACCCCAUUGCAAGCCUGAUAAGAGACAAUGGGACACAUUUUCACCACUAAAUACAUCAGGGAUGAAAGGGACCUGGGAGCUGGGGGAAGAAGCUGAAAAGAGCACCAGGAAUGAUCUGACCUGCCUGAAACCUGCUUUUCUACUGAAGAGGAAGGAAGCUUGCUCUACAUAUCUGAAAAAAAAAAAAAAAAAAAAAAAAAUGAGAGAGACUUGGUGGCAACGAAGAUGGUGGUUCUGAGAAGAGUCCUGAUGGUGCACAGUGGCCAAAUGCCUUCUGAGAUUUAAUGUCUAGAAAGUGAAGUUAAGCCCAUCUGGUCUGGAGUGACGUUUGGUGGGCAAGAGGCAACUACUCAGAGGGAUAGUCCAGUUAUCAACAGGUAAAAAUUUGUAGGGUUUGAAUCAAUGGAAGAUGACACAUGUUCAGUGGAACAGAGCCAAGGCCAGAGAACAUCUCUGAUUGAAACCCUCCCCUUUUGCAGCCAUACCCCAUUACAGCUGAGAUGUGGCAGUGAGCCUUGCCACCAGCCCAGACAGCCUGUUGAUCUUACUAUUCCCUUCUCAAAGCCAGGAUCAAAUGAGGAGAAUAAAUCCAUAGGAAGGAAAUGCUUCCUCCUACCUGCAGCUGCUUUCCAAUUCGAUCUUCCUCCCUGGUCAGGAGAAAUCUCAUGCAGCUCUGCAGCAGAAGACACUGUCUGUCCCACAAACUCUGUCACAUGCUGUGAGUUGGUCCCAGCUUUUAGGUGGAGAUGCCUUGACCCAAGACAGCCUGGUAUUUCCAGGUUAUAGUUACUCAAAAUAAGUCUGAGAGAAAAGACAGCACUUGCUUGUGAUGUGGACAACUCCUUCAAGAGCUGAGCCUGUCUCAUUCAUAGCAAACUGGGACUUGGCAGCCUUCAUGAAAAUAUAAAGGCCAGACCAGUGAUAGGUUCAGUGAAGGAGUAGGAAAAAAGGCAAUGCAAAAUGGCUCAAGCAGUGAUUCAUUUGGACUUUUAUUAUGAUUAACUUGAAAUCAGCAAGGUUUUGUCAGCAAGUCCAUUUUAUACAUGAACAGCCCUCUAAAAUCAGUCUUAGAUGGUAAUAUCUUCUACAUGUGCUACUGCAGAUUCCCUUUCUGACAGCAGCUGAUGGCCGGUGCAGAAGCAGGAGAAAACUCCAUCCUGCAGAGUGGUGGGAACUCUGAUGUGGGAUCUUUCCCCUUGACUGCCACACCCCAACCCUGCAACCCGUGCUGCAAACCAUUUCAUUCAGAUUUUAAACCUGGAUGCCAAAGAGAGCAUCCUCUGGGCAGCCCAGCACAGAUGUGGGCUCCAGCUUGGGCACUCACUGGGGCACAGUGAGGUUCAACACACCAGGCUUUCCUGACAGAAACUUCUCAUCAGGGCCACAGGUCUCCCAGCUUCAUAGCAGAGCUGCUCUUCCCCACUCCAUCUGGGAGUUGGGGCUUGCAUGCUUUGCUUUACCUUCCUGACAAAAUUACAAAGGGCAGCAGGAUGGCAGAGUUCAGGAACAGCCCGUUGAGGUGAGAGUUUUCUGUCAGAGAGCCCUGGAGCAGCCUGCAUUAUGAAAAAAGGCUGUGUCUGGGAGGCUGGUUCCCCAC
rnacentral:lncRNA from 1 species